rnacentral:rRNA from 1 species
GAUGAACGCUGGCGGCGUGCCUAAUACAUGCAAGUCGAGCGAACAGACGAGGAGCUUGCUCCUCUGACGUAAGCGGCGGACGGGUGAGUAAAACGUGGAUAACCUACCUAUAAGACUGGGAUAACUUCGGGAAACCGGAGCUAAUACCGGAUAAUAUAUUGAACCGCAUGGUUCAAUAGUGAAAGACGGUUUUGCUGUCACUUAUAGAUGGAUCCGCGCCGCAUUAGCUAGUUGGUAAGGUAACGGCUUACCAAGGCAACGAUGCGUAGCCGACCUGAGAGGGUGAUCGGCCACACUGGAACUGAGACACGGUCCAGACUCCUACGGGAGGCAGCAGUAGGGAAUCUUCCGCAAUGGGCGAAAGCCUGACGGAGCAACGCCGCGUGAGUGAUGAAGGUCUUCGGAUCGUAAAACUCUGUUAUUAGGGAAGAACAAAUGUGUAAGUAACUAUGCACGCCUUGACGGUACCCAAUCAGAAAGCCACGGCUAACUACGUG